GAUUGAACAGCUCUGUGCGCGCCUGACCUAACACACUCGGACUCGGAAACACUGAGAAAUAAUGAGAAAUAUUUAUGAUUCGUCUUUCUUACGCGACUCUUUGUUAAUGAAGUCGUUGUGCUGUUGCUAUAGCAACAGUGAAUACACCACUAAGCGUGGGUGAUCACGCUAAUGCUGGGAGGUUUUUUGUUAUUACAUCGCCGGGAAUGUGAUACAGCACUGCCUUAACCCUCUUGGGCCUGGAGUUCACCAGAGCUUCACAAGUUGCCACUGUAGUCCUCUUCCACUCCUCCAUGAUGACAUCACAGAGCUGGUGGAUGUUAGAGACCUUGUGCUCCUCCACUUUCCGUUUGAGGAUGCCACACAGAUGCUCAAAAGGAUUUAGGUCUGGAGACAUGCUUGGCCAGUUCAUCACCUUCGCCCUCAGCUUCUUUAACAAGGCAGUGGUCAUCUUGGAGGUGUGUUUGGGGUCGUUAUCAUGCUGGAAUACUGCAUACUGAUCAUGUUCUGCUUCAGUAUGUCACAGUACAAGUUGCCAUUCAUGGUUAUCUCAAUGAACUCUAGCUCCCCAGUGUCGGCAGCACUCAUGCAGCCCCAGACCAUGACACUCCCACCACCAUGCUUGAAUGUAGGCAAGACACACUUGUCUUUGUACUCCUCACCUGGUUGCCGCCACACACGC
ensembl:lncRNA